AACCUAAAACUCCAGCCUCUUAACGUCGCUUCUUCUUCCUCCCUUUCUCUCUCUGCCUCUCUCUCUCCUUCUCUCUCUCCUUCACUCGUCGACAUUCACCCAUCUGUUCGUUCCCUCUUUCUCUUUCGAGUGAAAAGAAACCUAAUCUCACUCCUCAAUUUCACUCUUUCGAAAAAACCCUUAACCGCAAAAUUUUCGAGCCCUAACAUGAUUUGGUGAUUUGAAGAUCUGACGAAAUAAGCAGUAAAUCUUCAUAAAGCGUUCUUAGAGCCGCAAAAUUUUCAAAAGGAUAUUGAAGAUUUGAAGAAAAAAGUGAGAUAAAGGUUUUAGCAAGGUAAAUAUGAGUCCUUUGACCCUCUCAUCUCCCUCUCUCUCUGUUCUUUUUCCGGACCCUCUCGAUCCUUCGACCAUGGCGAAGCAACACGCCUCCAUCGUCGGUCAACAGGAAAUGCGCUGACAUCCAUGGCGCAGCAAAAUACGAAUGCAAUAUCGUAUUGUGCUCGAGUAUGAGUCAGUAGCAGCAAUCGAUAGCCAAACAGGAAGAAGACAUCAGUUUUUUUAUUUCAGCAAUUUUCAUAUUGUCUGUAAUUAUUUUUUUUUUGAUUUUCUGUAAUUUUCUCUUUUUAUUUUCUGUAAAUCCUGUAUUUUUUUACUUUUUUUCUUGUAAACAGAUGAUUUGAUUCAUUUGCAAUAGAACUUCUGUUUUGGACACAAUGCA